AUUGAUCUGCGCAUUCAUACUCUCCUGGGAAAUGACAGUUGAAUACUCAUGGACGGGAGGAGGUGUUACCAUUGCGAUCGGGCUGCUUCUUGAAGCAAGAAGACGUUGCCCCUCCUAGCAAACGAAGGGUCAUUUUACUUUAUCCUUUUUCUUUCUUUUGCCUUUUAUCAGGUUAUGAAACUCGAGUAAGAGAUGCGUUCUCUUAACAGAGGGACCUCCUCGAGGCCAAGAAGAUCGACUGUCGUACGUUGACAGUGCUCUUCUUUUUUAUCUCUAGUGUGAAAGACAGCUGAUGAACAUGCGACUUUGUGACGACAGCUGACGAACAUAGGUAUGAGGUUGAAAUCAGCUGCAACAUUUCGGACUUAACACCACCAUGCGUGGUGGUCAAGUUCCUGAGAGAGACCAACUGGUUUGCGACUGGCUUGCUACUGCCUUGCUUUCUCGCCUUUUUGAUGAGGGGUGCAAUCAAAUAAAACAAGAUCAAUUAUUAGUUGCUUGAAGUCUCGAUGACAUCCUAGAUUAAAUUUUAUUUUGAUCAUCAAUCAGGUGGUUUUUGUUUCUUGGAUGUUGUUCCCCUUUUAAUUUUUUUAUUCCCGGGGGUUCCAUUCUGCAUCACUCAGAAUAGAACGACAUUUAAUUGGUGACACUCGGCUCUCGGGUAUGUAUCCACAUGUCAGUUGCAGUGCUUAGCGCUCAACUGUGCAGUUUCCCACUAACUAAUAA
rnacentral:lncRNA from 1 species